rnacentral:rRNA from 1 species
GACGAACGCUGGCGGCGUGCCUAAUACAUGCAAGUCGAGCGAACAGACGAGGAGCUUGCUCCUCUGACGUUAGCGGCGGACGGGUGAGUAACACGUGGAUAACCUACCUAUAAGACUGGGAUAACUUCGGGAAACCGGCGCUAAUACCGGAUAAUAUAUUGAACCGCAUGGUUCAAUAGUGAAAUACGGUUUUGCUGUCACUUAUAGAUGGAUCCGCGCCGCAUUGGAUAGUUGGUAAGGUCACGGCUUACCACGGCAACGAUGCGUAGCCGACCUGAGAGAGGGGUCGGCCACACUGGAACGGAGACGCGGUCCAGAGGCCUACGGGAGGCCGCAGUAGCGAAUCGGACGCAAUGGGCGAGAGCAUGGCGGAGCAACGCCGCGUGAGAGAUGAAAGUCUUCGGAUCGUGAAACUCUGUUAUUAGGGAAGAACAAAUGUGGCAGUAACUAUGCCCGGCUUGACGGUACCGAAUCAGAAAGCAACGGCUAACUACGUG